ensembl:lincRNA
CUGGGGUGGAGGAAUGGGAGCCAGCCGCCCACGCCUCAUCACACCUUAGAGCUGUCUGUGCCAGAGAGUGAGGGAACGGAAACCCCGUGGCCAGGCUCUGUCUCUUGGUGCCCUGUUACUAGUCACCAUGAUUAAAUGAACAAAAUGACAAACUCUCUCAGGAAAGGAAAGGCAGCCUCUAGCUGAGCAAUUCUAGAGCCCAUCUUCUCUUGGACCUGAGAACAUAGACACUGUGCAUUAUUUAUUUAUUUAUUUAUUUCAAUCACUCUGCUAUAUAUUCCCUUUUACAGAUGAUGAGACCAUGGAUAAGAGCAAAGUUAACAUACUCCGGCUUACAAAGAACACAGCUAGGAUUUGGGAGAUCACAGGAUAUCAUGCAGAGGUUUUCUCAGGAAACACUGCCCAUGGACUCUUAGCAUGACAUGCUGCAAAGUCCUGAUGAUCAUGGAGUAGCAGAACAGCAUGAUCCCCAAGGGGAUCACCAGUCCUAGAAUGUUGAUCUCCAGAGAGCUCAGAACUUUCCAUGUGGUGGAGUUUGCAGAGUACCUGGUUUUGCAGGAGGUGUGGUUGCGCUCAGUGUAACAAGUGCUGAACAGUAGGCCAGGAAGAGAGGCAAACACUGCCACUGCCCAUGUAGCCAAGCUGGUGAUGACCCCAUACGUAAAGGUCCUCACCCUCAUCGAAAACACCCCAUGCACAAUGGCCAGGUAUCUGUCGAUGCUCAUGAGCACAAUGAAGAAGAUGCCGCUGUAAAAGCCCACCAGGAUGUGUGGACUCAUGACAGCUGUGCAUGCAGGAAGGAGAAGAACCAGCCCUACAUGUCCAGGUGCCCAUCGGAUGAGGGCUCCACAGCGCGGGUCAGGCAGGGCGUGGGAGCUCCAAGCAAGCUGCCACCUGCGCGCAGCAAUGUGACCAAGAUGCCCAGGCAUCCCGGCCUCUGUACCCCACAGUCACCUUCGGCCCACACUGCUCUCCCCAUGCACGGCCCUAUCCCCACUCACCUGGCUUUACUAAGGUAGUGCUAGGAGGAUCUGAGAGGCAGUGUGACACUCACUCGAGAAGUACAGGUGCCUUUGAAGGAGCACGGCUUCCUGUGAGCACAGUGAGGUCCCUCACAUGGCUCUGCUGAGCUCAAGUGGGGUUUUUGAUAAAAAGUAGGAAGCAAAAAAAACAGUGACUCAUUUCUCAAAACAGAACAUUUGAUUUUUUCUUGUGGAGGCAGAAGAAAAGAAGAACAUAAGGAAGAAAAUGUUUUUUUUAAACCCUUUUUUAUUUCCUAAAAAUGUAUUUACUGGGAUCUGGGGGUGUAGCUCAGCGGCACUAUACUUGAUGAGCAUGUGAGAGGCCCAGGGUUCGAGCUCCAGCACAGCACACACACAGAUUACUUGUUGGCUUUUUAAUGAAGAAAAGAAUUUCUUUUCAAGUAAAAAUGUCCCUUGUGUUUGGGAUCAGGUUGGCAAGGGCUCUGAAGAGGUCUGAUGUUCUCUGAAUGAAUGAGAUCUGAUUAAAUGACCUAAUGUUUGUAAAGCACUUAGCACAGUGCCUGAUACAUGUAGCUGUCCAUCAGUGGCAACAGCAGUGAGAAUUAGUAGGAUGAAUAAGAUAAUAAAUAGGGGAAAUCUGCUUCUUCAGAGUUAAGCCCUUGGCCAUCACUGGGAUUCCAAGAAAUACAGGAUGAGACACACUCAGCAUCCUACUCAGUGUUUAAUCCAAAAGCAAGGGUCAGCUAUAUAUG